AAAUUAUCAUUACGUCAUUAAAAAUCCUGUAGACCUUGAAUUAAUGACACAACAUUUAAUAGUUUUAAAUCCCAUCUGUUUACGAAAAUUCGCAUUCAUUGAUUCGUUCAAACAGUUAGAUUAAUUUGAAUGUUAAUUUGUGUUUAUUUGCUAUUCCUGGCAUGAAACCGUUUUAAAUCAAAGCGCAAAGUCAGUCGUAACACUUCCAGUAAUCACUAAACGUAUCAUCGCCCUGGUUCGUUAUCAACAUUAUUAUUUAUAAUUCGUUUAAAAACAAUUUUCUUUGUGUCGUGUAUCGAAGAUAUAUUCUUGUUAUUGGAGAUCAAGUAUUGUUUACAUUUUAACGAGAUAUUUACAACUUAUAGGAAUAAAAUUGUGGUUUAACGACAAUAAAUCACCGGGAAAUUGAAUGAUGUAACUGGGAAAGUAUUUCGAAAGUGAGACGAGUUAGUAUACAUUUUUAAAGGUGGAUUUCGCAAUCGAUUUUUAAAGUGUCUUUAAACGUGUAUAUAUUUAUAAUAUAAGGUACUUUAAACAGUAUUUGAGUUUCUGAAGUGGAAUAGUGUGCGGAAACAAUGAAUAGAAGUACAGAAAUUUUAACUGUUAGUGGAAGCACUUCUUCGGUUAAUGAUGCUGAAGCUCAACAGUACAAUCCAAAAAGAAAACCGCGCCAACAAGUUGUUGCUGUAUGGGAUAAACAAAAAUCUUAUACCUUUAUCGGCAUGAUAGUUUGUUUCGUGGUUUGGAUUUGUGUCUUUUUCCCGCUUUUGGAAUGAUGAGGACAACAAUAAAAAAAUGACGAUACUUAAAAGGAAAACCAAUAUCAAAUACUUGAGAUUAUUAGCUUUUAGGAUGUUUUUGUUGUUUACAAAUAAAAUUCUUUAAAAAAUCAAAAAAUAAAUUUAUGUAUUAGCAGAAA